rnacentral:misc_RNA from 1 species
ACAGCCCUCUGUGAAUCAUUACCUCUUCUGCAUACAACAUAUAAACUCAUAUCUGACUCUGAUCCGAUACCCCUGCGCUCUCUCUCUUCCUUCAUAGCUGAUGAUAUUUCUGCCAAUCUAACCUCCAAACUUGAUAGCGGGAUGUUUAAGGCAUUGGGAAGGGAAACAAUCUUAAAGUGGUGGGCAGGGCGUACAUCUACCAACACAUGUGCUUCCCCUUUAACAAUCUUCUCAUUGAACUCUCUACUGCUUAUUCUAGAUUCUGCCGGAAGCAGGUUCAACUUCAACGGAUCCGUUGCCAAAGAAGACUGCGUGAACUUCUCAUAAUCAAAAUCUCUAAAUUGCUUUUGUGUGAAUGCUGCAUUUUCUCCACAAACUUCACAUUGUAAUG